rnacentral:rRNA from 1 species
GUUGAACGCUGGCGGCAGGCCUAACACAUGCAAGUCGAGCGGCUGCACGGUGUUUGCUCGUGCAUUCGGCUGCCGACUGGUGGGUGAUUCCUAGGUAUCUCCCUGUUAGUUUUUUCUUACGUCCGAACGCGGGCGCUCUUACCCCAUUCGUCCUUACGUCCUACGUGUGGGAUCUUCGGACCUCCCGCUCUCGGCUGAUUCUAGGUCGGAUUAGCUAGUUGGUGGGGUAAAGGCCUACCAAGGCGACGAUCCGUAACUGGUCUGAGAGGAUGAUCAGUCACACUGGAACUGAGACACGGUCCAGACUCCUACGGGAGGCAGCAGUGGGGAAUAUUGGACAAUGGGCGAAAGCCUGAUCCAGCCAUGCCGCGUGUGUGAAGAAGGUCUUCGGAUUGUAAAGCACUUUUAGUGGGGAGGAAGGGCAGUAAGUUAAUACCUUGCUGUUUUGACGGUACCAAAAGAAUAAGCACCGGCUAACUUCGUG